rnacentral:lncRNA from 1 species
GGUGUCGCGCUGCGGCCGGUGGCCUACGGCCCACGGACCUCCGGGCUUAGGCCGGUCGCUUUCCCAGCCGAGAACUAGGCUCCGAAGGGCCCAAGAGGGAUGAGAAGCUCGUCUGGGCGCCCCUCGGGUCUGGAGCCCAGGCCACCCUCUCCACGCCGUGAGAUCGCGGUCUCGCAGCCUCGGGGGCCCCGUUUGUGGGGGGAGUUCACGCCCCUGCCGCAGGCGGCCCUGGGCACCCGGAGAACUCGGGACAGGCUGGGCCCCGGAGUGGGGUCCGUGGGGCGGAGGGGCUCCCGCAGCAGCCUGAGGAGGUGGGCGCUGUGACUGUGAGCAUCCACGGGAAGAAACCGGUCCCGGAGGCCCAAGUGGCCCAAGGGAUGCCAGCGGGGCGCGGCGACAGGGCCCUCCCGGGUGCCCCCACGGAGAACCCGGGCCGAGCUGGUGGCGUACCUCCCACGUGCUCGGGGUAGAAGUCGAGGGAGGGGACGCGGGGAGAGGGCAACAAGGAGCAUGUGUCGUCCAGGCUGCAAACGUGGUGGGGAAAUGUUGGGAUUUAGAAGCCCAAAGAUGCUUGACCUUUGUUUUGGAGGCGGGGAGCGGGGGUGCUGAGAAUUGAUCCCAGGGCGCUCCACCACCGGGUUACAGCCCAGCCGUGUGUCACCUGAUGCCCAUGUUGGCCUUGUGAUCCCCCUGUCUCAGCCUCCUGGGUAGCUAACAGGCCACCUUUGGAAACAAUACCUUUGGUAGCAGAUUCUUCGGCCCACUUGGCUUCUCCCCCUUGGUUAGCACGGCCCAACCUUCUGCCCGACCUGAGCUCCCAUUUUGUUUUCUAUUCCUAGAGUGAAAGGUUUCUUAACUACACUACUGGCAUCAAAAGCCAGAUCUUUUUUUGAAGUGGGACACUGUCCUAGGCACUGUUAAGAAAUUGAGCAGCAUAUGCAGCCUUUUCUCUCUACACACCAGGAACACUCCCUUCCAACCUGAAUUGUCACCACGAAAAAUGUCCCCGUGCCAGGCACACCUGUAAUUCCACCUCCUUGGGGGGCUGGGGGAAGCUAGGGCAGGAGGAUGGCAGGCUCCAGGCUAACCUCGGCAACUUAGCAAGACCCUGUCUCAAAAUAAAGAACUGGGGAUGUGGCUCACUGGUAAAGAGCCCCUUCUUCAAUCCCCAGUAUUGGGGAGGAAAAGUCUCCAGACACUGCCAAACAACCCCUGGGAGAGGAGAAUGGCCUGAGUUGAGAACUUCUAACCUAGAGCCAAAAUUCAGAAGACAGAAAAGUGGGUUAGUCUUCACAAAUAGAUGUUUAAUUCUUUGACCAUCAUCAUAUGCCAGAAGGUAUAUAUUAAAGGAUCCUCAGUUUCAGUUCUCUGGAGUCUGAAAAAUGUUGAGUUGGCAAUUCCAGAAAUAAUGCAUAAGUUUCAAAGAACUUUCAUUGUAUGUAGUUAUAAUUUUUCUGUUUUAUUAUUAGGUGUUAUUGGGAAUUUCUUAUUGUGCCUAAUUGAUCAAGUUAAGCAUGAUAGGUACAUAUGUAUGUGUAGGACAAAACAUGUGUUAAUUGUCUCACCAUAGAGAUGUUUUAAAUGGCCAGAUAUUCUGGAAACUGGUUGACCCAAUUGGAUUAUAUGGAACACAAUGUAUAAGAUUGUAAUGGAGCCGGGCUGGUGGCACACGCCUGUAAUCCCAGCGGCUCAGGAAGCUGAGGCAGGAGGAUCACAAGUUCAAAGCCUGCUUUACAACAUCGAGGCACUAAGCAACUCAGUGAGACCCUGUCUCUUAAAUAAAAUUCAAAACAGGGCUGGGGAUGUGGCUCAGUGGUUGAGUGCCCCUGAGUUCAAUCCCCAGUACCAAAAAAAAAAAGAUUGUAAUGGAUAGUUCUACUGCAUAGAAGCAGCCCUGGCCAAGAAUCAGGAGACCUGGGUUCUGUCCUCAGUUCUGCGACUGCACAUUGUGACCUUGUCACUUAUUUCCCUAGACUGGUUCCUCCUCUGUCAAGUGACGAUGCUGAGGUGAUUUCUAAGGGCCUGGAAAUACCCAGAGUCUGGUCCCCCCACAGGAAGUUAUUGAGGCCACCCAGGCUGCCUGUGACCUUUUCAGUUCCCCUCCACAUGUCUUGUUCAGUCAGCCUCCCAGCCUGUCCCCUAAACACAUCUUUCUGAGUCCGUUUUCCAGGCUGCUACCAUAGACAAACUCAUUAUUAUUCCUGAUUUUAACAAGUAAAUUAUGGUGGUGUUGAACACAGCAGGGCAGGGGCUGGUUUGUGGGAAAUUAUGGUGUUUAAGCCCAAGACACCCUGGUGUUUGUGUGAGGAAAAAUAAAAUUAAAAACUGGUCUUUUAAAAUGCUCUGUGACGU